GGCCGCGUAGCUCAGUUGGAAGAGCAUUGGUCUAGUAUUCCAAAGGUCGUAGGUUCGAAUCCCACCGUGGCCG
rnacentral:tRNA from 1 species